rnacentral:rRNA from 1 species
GUGAAUCAUCGAAUCUUUGAACGCACAUUGCACCCUCAGGUCUUUUCCAGAGGGUAUGCCUGUUUGAGUGUCGUUGACCCAUCAAUGCAGACAAGUCUGUUAUGGACUUGCUUUUCUGUACUUGGAGAUUGAAGGCUUGCUGGCGUCAUGGCCAGCUCCUUUUAAAUUCAUUAGCGGGACUUUUGAAGACUCGGCUUCAGUUUGAUAAUGCAUCUAUGCUGUCGCCGAAGAACGGUUUUGUCUGGCUUAUAGUUUGUCCUUUAAAAGGACUUGUCUCUUAUGAGGCACAACGCAAUCAACUCUUGACCUCAAAUCAGGUAGGACUACCCGCUGAACUUAAGCAUAUCAAUAAGCGGAGG